CCUGUCCAUAGAGGUGUUGCACGUAUGACUGUUGCAGCACAUGCAUGUGUCAGUAGAUGGCAGAGGGGAGAGACGCCAUGUCUACACCCAGUGUUCUGACCUAGGAACUUCUGAAGAAUCAGUAGCCUAACAUU
ensembl:snoRNA Gm26005 small nucleolar RNA SNORA17